rnacentral:rRNA from 1 species
UACGUAGGUGGCAAGCGUUGUCCGGAAUUAUUGGGCGUAAAGCGCGCGCAGGCGGCCUUUUAAGUCUGAUGUGAAAGCCCCCGGCUCAACCGGGGAGGGUCAUUGGAAACUGGGAAACUUGAGUGCAGAAGAGGAAAGUGGAAUUCCAAGUGUAGCGGUGAAAUGCGUAGAGAUUUGGAGGAACACCAGUGGCGAAGGCGACUUUCUGGUCUGUAACUGACGCUGAGACGCGAAAGCGUGGGGAGCAAACAGG